GCGGAUGUGGCGGAAUUGGCAGACGCGCUAGACUUAGGAUCUAGUGUCAAGUACGUGGGGGUUCAAGUCCCUCCAUCCGCA
rnacentral:tRNA from 1 species